rnacentral:rRNA from 1 species
AAUUUUGGACAAUGGGCGCAAGCCUGAUCCAGCCAUGCCGCGUGAGUGAAGAAGGCCUUCGGGUUGUAAAGCUCUUUCGGUCGGAAAGAAAUCGCGCAGGCUAAUACCCUGCGCGGCUGCUGGUACCGUCACAAGAAGCACCGGCUAGCUACGUUCCAGCAGCCGCGGUAAGACGUAGGGUGCGAGCGUUAAGUGGAAUUACUGGGCGUAAAGCGUGCGCAGACGGUUGAUUAAGACAGGCAUGAAAACCCCGGGCUUACCCUAGGAGAAGCGCUUGUGACUGGUCGGCUAGAGUGCGGCGGAGGGGGGUGGAAUACCACGUGUAGCAGUGAAAUGCGUAGAGAUGCGGAGGAAAACCGAUGGCGAAGGCAGCCCCCUGGGCCGAUACUGACGCUCAUGCACGAAAGCGUGGGUAGCAAACAGG